UGUUCCAGUCCCCAGAAGAAUUCCACCUAUUGCCAAUAGGUGGAGGGUGAGGAGCAAAACACAGUGAGCUCAGCAAAGAUCCUCUGAUGGGGAAGAAAGUGCCAAUUUUGGGCAACGACCAGCAGGGAAAGCCCAGGCUGCAGCACUGAAGGGAAGAUUAUGCUGCAGCUUUUUCUAUAUCAGAGGUGGGGAGCAGGGAAUGGCAGGAGCAGGGGAAUUCCUUGGGAUUCAGUGCCUGGCAUCCCUUUGGCACCUUGGAUCUUCACAUGGACCUCCUGGAUGUGGCUGGUGGCUGGGACAGCAGGUCUAUCCCAAGGCAACCCAACCAAUAUCCUGGCAUCCCUUUGGCACCUUGGAUCUUCACAUGGACCUCUUGGAGCUGGCUGGUGGCUGGAGCAGAAGACAUUUGCAGACAAACAAAUCCCAGACAGAGGAAUCCCAGGACACCCCGAGCUGGAAGGGAGACCCACAAGGAUCAUCAAAUCCAACUCCUGGCCCUGCACAGGACACCCCAAGAAGACUGUGAAGUGUUCAGAGCUUGGGGUUUGGAGCAACUCCCCCAAAAUCUGGAGGCU